AUACGGAGGAUGCGAGCGUUAUCCGGAUUUAUUGGGUUUAAAGGGAGCGUAGGUGGGAUAUUAAGUCAGCUGUGAAAGUUUGGGGCUCAACCUUAAAAUUGCAGUUGAUACUGGUUUCCUUGAGUACGGUACAGGUGGGCGGAAUUCGUGGUGUAGCGGUGAAAUGCUUAGAUAUCACGAAGAACACCGAUUGCGUAGGCAGCUGACCAGACCGCAAAUGACGCUCAUGCACGAAAGUGCGGGGAUCGAACAGGAUUAGAUACCCUGGUAGUCCGCACAGUAAACGAUGAAUACUUGUUUUCGGCGAUAUAAUGUCGGAGGCAAAGCGAAAGCGAUAAGUAUUCCACCUGGGGAGUACGCCGGCAACGGUGAAACUCAAAUGAAUUGACGGGG
rnacentral:rRNA from 1 species